CACGUAGGGCGCAAGCGUUGUCCGGAAUUAUUGGGCGUAAAGAGCUCGUAGGCGGUUUGUCGCGUCUGCUGUGAAAACUCGGGGCUUAACUCCGGGCCUGCAGUGGGUACGGGCAGACUAGAGUGCGGUAGGGGAGACUGGAAUUCCUGGUGUAGCGGUGAAAUGCGCAGAUAUCAGGAGGAACACCGGUGGCGAAGGCGGGUCUCUGGGCCGUAACUGGACGCUGAGGAGCGAAAGCGUGGGGAGCGAACAGG
rnacentral:rRNA from 1 species